ACCAGCACCUCAAGUGGUCAGGAGGAUUAUUGGGCCUAAAGCAUCCGUAGCCGGCUCUGUAAGUUUUCGGUUAAAUCCAUAUGCUCAACAUAUGGGCUGCCGAAAAUACUGCAGAGCUAGGGAGUGGGAGAGGUAGACGGUACUCAGUAGGAAGGGGUAAAAUCCUUUGAUCUAUUGAUGACCACCUGUGGCGAAGGCGGUCUACCAGAACACGUUCGACGGUGAGGGAUGAAAGCUGGGGGAGCAAACCGG
rnacentral:rRNA from 1 species